rnacentral:rRNA from 1 species
CCCUUAGAUGUUCUGAACCGCACGCGUGUUACACUGAUGCAUUCAACGAGCUUUACCUUGGCCGAGAGGCCUGGGAAAUCUUUUUAGCAUGCAUCGUGAUAGGGAUUGAUUAUUGCAAUUAUUAAUCAUGAACGAGGAAUUCCUAGUAAACGCAUUUCAUCAAAAUGCAUUGAUUACGUCCCUGCCCUUUGUACACACCGCCCGUCGCACCUACCGAUUGAGUGGUCCGGUGAAGUCUCGAGAUUGUGGCAAUCUCCUUUAUUGGAGUUUGGCUGCGAGAACUUGCCUAAACCUUAUCACUUAGAGGAAGGUGAAGUCGUAACA